AGCAGUUAAGUCACUUACAAAUGCGCCUACCCAUUCUAUGAUCUCCACCAUGGCUUUUACACUGGGAGGAGUGUUUGUAACAUUUUUUGUUUCGAGCAGAUUGGCCGUUACAGUGUCGGGCCUUGGCAUAAAAACUGGACAUUUUCAAGUAUUGCAGAAACAUCCGGAUAUAAAAAUGUGUGCGGAUGACGUUCUGAAGGAGAAUGGGUAUGUUGGUGGGCGUGUAUCUGAGCUGACCGGCAAAUGCUAUGGUUUACCAUACCUCUGGGGGUUGAAUCCAACAAUAGAAAGUGGAUAUGCGUAUGUAAAGAAGACUUACGCGUGCAGGAAAACUUUCAUCCACCGCUUGAGGUUGAAAGAGAACCAGUUGCAUGGAUAAUUCCUGGUGUGUUUGGUACCGGAGCAAGAUUGGAUCUGUUUCUCUCGAUGCAAAAGUCUGAAUGAGACUCGUAGAAAUGUAGAAAUUAUUCUAACUGAUACGAUGUGGGAUUUCACAAACAGAAGUGACAAACUGACGAUGCGCGUCUCUAUUGAGUUAUUUACCAUGAUUUUCUGGGACAUCGAGGGAAGCCAUGAUGCCAAGCAUUCGGGGACGUUUGGUAGGAAAUGGCCUGUAAAAGAAACUUCAAAAGAAAUGUUUAAAAUUUCUUUUCUUGCCCAGACUGACUCAGCUGCGAUACAACUUGAAGACAAAGAGUUUGCGACAUUCGAAAAAUUCAGUUUCCUCGGAAAAAGGCAGCUCUAUGUUAAGACUAAUGACAGAGAAGCAAAUCGUAUCUCGGUUCACCGCAUCGAGUUCACUGCAAAAUGACUUAUCUAUUGAAGUAUUUUUCGAAAGAAUUUGUAUUCACAUUAUCUUAAGAAAAGAACAGUUUCUUAAAAAUUUGCAUUAAGCAGAAUUCAUUUAAUUUCACUUAAAAAAAAGACAAAUUGAAAAAAAAAAAAAAUAAAAAUAAACGAAAAAAAAAACCAGAAGACAACAACAGAUAGCUAAUGGGAGCGAUAAUGAAAUGACAAAUACUAUCACUGAGUUAGAUAUUUUAAUGUUUAUGAUAGAAUGAACGGUUAAAUUCCUUUCAUCUUAUAAAAAAUCGAAAGCAUGGUUCACGUUUUUGAGAAUCCAGAAUGUCUUUAAGCUUUCUUUCUAUUUUAAGUACUAGCUACUGAAAUCAGUUUCUAAACUUCGAAAAUAUAACAUGAAUUUUAAGGCGUGCAACUUAAAUUUCCGGAUAGAAUGGUUCUAUAGACAGACUAUAGUUACACGAGCGAGUUAUUAUAAAAGCAAAUCGAGGGCUUGGUGCAAAACUAUUGUAAGUGUAUAUAAAUAAAGAACAAGAUACAAUAGUUUUGCGCCGAGCCCUCGAAAUACUAGUACAUAAAUACGAAAAUAGAUCAGCCGAUAUAACAUGUACAAAUGUUUCUAUUAUUUAAACCAUUUAUAUUAUUAUUAUUUACACUAUCAGUCAUUUUCUAUGAAUUAUAUUUGUUAUUUAUUUUAUUGCCUAAACAAAUUAAUGGAAUGUGUACAGUAGUCUAGAUACAUUAUGUGUCCUAGUUAUGAUUCAGUUAUUCUUAAACGUUAUUUAUGUUUUCACGUCACCUCAACUACUUGAUAAUGGCAGAGCAAUUCAAAACAAUUGCAUCAUAUGAAUGUAAUCGUUGUUAUACGUACUAAUGAGGUAAUAUACGGAAAAAGUACAAUAUAAAAGGGGGUUGAAACUUUAACUAUUUAUAUCAAAGUAAAGCUUUCUUAAAGAUUUUACACUAAAAAUUGCAUCAAUUUCAUUUUAAUUAUAUAUAUUUUUGUUUGGUAUUUGAAGCACAUCGUCUGUUAAAUAUUUCUAUUACAAUAUCGAUUUAUCGAUUUUUAUGCGUAUGUCUCGGUCAAUGACUCGUGUUGGUCUAGCUGCGUUUUGGACCCUAGUUUUUUUUAUUAUGCCUAAUUAGUGCUUGAAGGUUGAUCGUGCGAUGUUUGAAAAUGAUUAUCAUACACUGAAAGAUAUUGCAUACAUAUGAAUUACAAUGACUUAUACUACUUUCAAAAAUGGUAUUUUAAUGUAGUAACGUAGUACAGUUUGGCGAUAUUUUUAUUUAUUCAUUUAGAUACCCGAAACGAUUCGUACUAAGAAUCUGGCGGCUAGAGUUGUUAUAACCCUUACCUUGCUAAAUUUCUAUCAUAGACUUGUCCAAGUUUCAAUUUUUACCCUCCAUUAACUAUAUAAAGGGGUGUAUACCGAAUAAAUACGGACUGAAUGGCGAACAGAGCAGGUCAUGGUCAGACUGCACGGAUGUGCAGGCUGAUCAUGAUCUGCACUGUGUGCAAAGGCAGAAUCGAUCUAGUCCAGUAUUAUUAGGGUUCAUUUUCGUGUAUGUUUGAUCUGACUGCAUUACUUGGAAGUAACGGAAAUUUGCAGGCUUUAUAUACCAGAAAAAGUAGCCUAAUGCUUUGUAGCUUCAUAGGCCAUGAUAUUAUUGACCUGGAUAUUUUUACUUUGUUUGCGACGUAGCCUCAAGUAACCAACUAUCGAAAGUUUUCACAACACAAUUAUGGUAAAAUUCUGUGAAAAGAUACACAGGAUAAAAACAAUAUUUUGUGGUAAUAGACUGACCUUUUAUCUUAAAAUUUCACAUUUUUCACGUUAUUUUUCGACACGUGAUGUAAAUAUGUGACGUCAUGGUUCUUCAGGUCAUCCGAUUACAACAUUGAACAUGUUCUUGACUAAUUAUGACAAUAAUAUAAAUCAGUAGAACAACAGUAAAUGUGGUUACUUUUUAUUAUAUGGUUUGUUUUAAGUUGUUAAGCACUUCCAAAUAGUAACAAAAACUUGACCAGUAAGAAAUAAAUAGUUACUGCAGUCAAUUUAAAUGAGGAGAAACAACACACCUAACAGUUUACAUUUCCUAUUUUUCGUCGCAAAACCACAAAUACCAUGAUUCAUAACUACUUCCAUCUUGUGCCUCGUGUUUCAGCAUUCAAACACUCAAAAUGGAACCAGUUGGGCACAUGACACAUCCAAAGUCAGAUUGGAAUAAAUUUAGAUUGAGACUGAAAGAUAUGUUCGACUUAAGCGGGAGUUCAACUUAAGCGAGUUCGGGUUAUCGAGUUUGGACUGUAUUUGUGUGCUAUUCAUUGUACUAUGUAAAAUGUUUUAAUAAUUGUCUGUUACAAAUCUUUAAUAGAUUGGCUAUGCAUGUAUGUUCCAUGUAUAAUGAUUGUUUUAUGUAUGUAAACAUGUAUAGAACGGACAAUAAACUUUGAAAACCUAAAACCUCCAAACUAUUAAAGUCGAUAAAUGUGGACAAUUUUUUAAUACAGGUACAAAGUCAAACAUGACCAACCAGAACCAAGCGGGAUUGUUUACAUUCUUGACAGUUAGAUUCGAUUUCAAUUUGGGAAAUUAAAGAAAAAAUAUUGGAUUCAAUGCAUUGAGAUUAGGUUCAGACAUGUGAACUUAAUUAUUGCCACUGCUUAUGGAAUUCAGCGUUUUGUUGAACACGUGAAAACCUCCUGAUACUUUUUGGAGAUUGUUUGUCUGCACUGCUUAAUUUGAAAACGAGGCUAGAUGUUUGGCAUCGCGUGAUUCGGACGGGUGCUCAAACUGUUUUUUAUUUUUCUACAAACACGGUAAUUACUUUCAGUUUAUAAGUAUAUAGCGUUAGUAAAAAAAAGUAAUAUUUUCCCAAUAACUGGUACCUGUCGAUAAUUGGUAACCCGGGGCUAUAUACGUUACUAAUUGUAACACAGUCUUUCUAAGUGUUGUUUUGAUUCUGUAAUAGUUUAGAUUUCGCUAAUGACAGUGUCCUAAAUUUGUUUAUUAGAGUGUAAAUGAAAUUCUCUAAUAUCUCCUUGUGUCUAUUUUUAUUAGAUAUGUCUGUGACGUAAGAAUGCUAAGGUUGUUUUUGGGGUUUUUUUUGUGACAGAACAUAUAUGUAUAUACUUUGAACUAGACCCUUUAGUAUUACAAAUAUGAGCCGCGCC